rnacentral:rRNA from 1 species
GACGAACGCUGGCGGCGUGCUUAACACAUGCAAGUCGAACGGAAAGGCCCUGCUUUUGUGGGGUGCUCGAGUGGCGAACGGGUGAGUAACACGUGAGUAACCUGCCCUUGACUUUGGGAUAACUUCAGGAAACUGGGGCUAAUACCGGAUAGGAGCUCCUGCUGCAUGGUGGGGGUUGGAAAGUUUCGGCGGUGGGGGAUGGACUCGCGGCUUAUCAGCUUGUUGGGGGGGUAGUGGCUUACCAGGGCUUUGACGGGUAGCCGGCCUGAGAGGGUGACCGGCCACAUGGGGACUGAGAUACGGCCCAGCCUCCUACGGGAGGCAGCAGUGGGGAAUAUUGCACAAUGGGCGGAAGCCUGAUGCAGCAACGCCGCGUGCGGGAUGACGGCCUUCGGGUUGUAAACCGCUUUCGCCUGUGACGAAGCGUGAGUGACGGUAAUGGGUAAAGAAGCACCGGCUAACUACGUG